rnacentral:lncRNA from 1 species
CAGCCUACCAGGCUCCUCCAUCCACGGGAUUUUCCAGGCAAGAGUGCUGGUGUGGGGUGCCAUUGCCUUCUCCAUUAGAGUAUCAUACCUUUAGAUUAAAAAAGAAGUUGCAGAAUAUAUGAUAACAUUUGUUUUGAUGAAAGUUUACAGCAACAUUGUGACCUGACCCUAAUCUGACCUAACAGACAGCUACAAGAACAAAGGAUUCAAUACCAAGAAGGUUACCACAACUAACCACACUCCUGUCUCACCUUUCCUAUAAAAGGGCUUUACUGAAAGCCUUUGAGGAGUUGGGGGACUCAAGGCAUGAGCCACCUGUCUUCUUCAUGGCCCUGCAAUAAACCUUUCUCUGACCCAGACUCCAAGGUUUCUGUACAGUUUGGCCUCACUGUGCAUUGAACCCAUGGGCCUGCACUUGGUAACACUAUGGCAACUUUAAGGGCCAGCCUUCCACUGCCCUCCAGGUCCGACCACUGAGGGCUGGGAGGCAACACUGGGAGUCAGCUUGUUGGGACAGGGAAGCCAGGAAGAGGGGCUACACUAGGGGUCAGGCAUUUGAGCAUUGCCCCCAACUCAUCUCUAGUUUCUCCAGACAUGGGAGGUCAGGGGGAAUCAAUGCAGAUUUAGACAAAUAGCCAGGACUGGAAUAACCCUUAAAGCCAGAGCAGAACCAGGUUCUCCCUCCUGCCACUUGUGGCUGAGUUCUAAGCUAAUCUCUGUACCAGAGCUGCGGUACACCCAGCAGGGCCGAGAGCCAUUGUCGGCUUUCGCCAAGCACUCCCAUCUCCCGCAGCCACAAGCAGUGAAUAACGAGUGGUAUUUAGAAACUGCAGCAAUUCGUAACUUUUAUUCAGCGAUUUGUGUAAACAUGUAGGGUCUGUAUCGGGCACAGGCAGACAUGGUUUGCACUGCAGAAUGGCUUUCUAAGUGGGCCAGCAACAGGGAAGCUGGCCUGAUGGUCUGCCUGAAGUCACCCAUGAUCAUUUUAUGCUCAAGGACAACAGGGUGUUAGGGUCAAGACAGCAUCCAAGGUAGGUCUCUGGAGUUCUCCAUGGCCAGGCCCCAGCUCCUGUGAUCCCUCUUACCACCCCCUUCCACNNNNNNNNNNNNNNGGAGCCAAGUGGUUAGGAACAUGGCCUUUGGAGCCAAACAAACCUAGUUUCAAUCCUGGUUCCACCACCCUCUCCCCCAGUGGCCUUGAGUGAGUCAUAGCAAUUGCUGGGGCCUCGAUUUCUUUUCUGUAAAGCAGAGCAAAUAAAAAAAAGCCUACUUCCUGGGGUGGAGACCUCAGAGAAAUAACCCAUAUAUUGGCAUGGAACAUGUUCAGUAAACAGCCCUUAAACUUUCCACCAAUUUUGACUCCUUGGUAGGUACUGCCCUCUCUUCACCCUUUUCCCCCCAGAAGCAACACCUGGGCCUUGGUGCCAAGACACCACCACCCACUGGCACCUGCAAACGCCAGCUGGCACAGACUCUCAGGAAACAGCAGCAGUGGCGUAUGCCCCAUAAGUCGUUAGGACUCACUUGUGCUUUUUAAAUACACAGAGUCUAAACAUUUUUUUAAUCUACUGUUAUACCUUCAGCUCCUAAGACAAUACCUGACACUUAGUAGGCACACAACAAAUAUGUGUUGACUAAUGGGUGUAUUCGUCCACUCACUCAUUCUUGAAUUAUUGGUACUGACUACGCUUCAGACGGGGGCUUCCCAGGCGGAACUGGUGGUAAAGAACCCGCCUGCCAAUGCAGGAGACCUAAGA